rnacentral:rRNA from 1 species
AUUGAACGCUGGCGGCAUGCCUAACACAUGCAAGUCGAGCGGAUGAAGGGAGCUUGCUCCUGGAUUCAGCGUCGGACGGGUGUGUAAUGCCCAUGAAUCUGCCUGGCAGUGCGGGAUAACGUCCGGAAACGGGCGCUAAUACCGCAUACGUCCUGAGGGAGAAAGUGGGGGAUCUUGGGAGCUUACGCUAUCAGAUUAGCCUAGGUCGGAUUAGCUAGUUUGUGGGGUUAAGGGCUUCCCAGGCGACGAUCCGUAACUGGUCUGAGAGGGUGAUCAGUCACCUGGGAAGGGAGACACGGUCCAUGCUCCUACGGGAGGGAGCAGUGGGGAAUAUUGGACAGUGGGCGAAAGUAUUACCCAGCGAUGGCGAGUGUGAGAAGACGGUCUUCGGAUGGUGAAGAACUCUAAGUUGGGAGGAAGGGCAGUAAGUUAAGACCAUGCUGAAUUGACGUUACCAACAGAAGAAGCACCGGCUAACUUCGUG